rnacentral:piRNA from 1 species
UGGCUGUUCUCAGAAUGAUUCAGGCUAGCA